rnacentral:ncRNA from 2 species
ACACUCGCGCACGUUCCAGGUGCUCGCCAUCCGCCCAAGGCAGAUUGGCAGUUCAACGGGAAACAGGGAGCCGCGGCCGACGAACAGCUCGGCCAGGCCAACCUGUGCUGCCCCCGCAACGGUAAGCGGCCGCGAUGCCUGCCCACACGGCGUCGCAGGGCUGGCCAAUCGCCACUGAACCUCACGCGUUCGGGAAGGCGGCCAGUCCCGAGCCGCCAGCCCGGAUACCGGCCUGAACGCGGGCUGCCGC